UUGGGUGAUUCAAAAGGCUAAGUUGUGAGAUUUUUCGAGGACAACGUGUUGGUGAGCUCGGAUAGUGAUUUGGAGUCCCCGUUUGAGCGGGGCAGCGUUCCGAGACCGUUCGAAAAGGGAAAGCUCCGAAGGAGUGAUUUUGGAGCGCGUGUGAUCGGCCUACAGGUUCGGGCACUAGUAGCCAGCGUUGAUCGAGCUUGGAGCAGACUGAUCCGGAGACGGGAGUGAGCA